CUAUGGUAGAGGGACUCUGGAAGAGAGGAAGGAGAUAAGAAGCAGGAUGAAAUCCCCAGAGGACAGGGCAAAAAAACAGAAGAAUGAGUACUAAACCCUGGAAUUUUCCAAUCAUAACAGGUUGGGAAGAAACUGAAAAGUGAAGUAUGAGCAAAGUUAUAAAUUAAGAAGGUGCACAGAGGAAGAGUAGAAGUUUGAAGAAAGAGAAGGUGUGAAAUAGUUGUCAAGAAGGGGAGAGUAAAAAAGCAAAGGAACUAAUUGCUCAA